UACAGAGGUCUCAAGCGUUGUUCGGAUUCAUUGGGCGUAAAGGGUGCGUAGGUGGCGGGGUAAGUCAGGUGUGAAAUCUCGGAGCUCAACUCCGAAACUGCACUUGAUACUGCCUUGCUUGAGUACUGGAGAGGAGAUUGGAAUUACGGUGUAGCAGUGAAAUGCGUAGAUAUCGUAAGGAAGACCAGUGGCGAAGGCGAAUCUCUGGACAGUUACUGACACUGAGGCACGAAGGCCAGGGAGCAAACGGG
rnacentral:rRNA from 1 species